CUUAUUCUUCCCUGCAGCCGCACCCAGCCCUCCCUCAUCAACCUGCCACUGCCCAUCUCCUCCUCAACAGCAGUCGCGCUUCCCCUUCCUGCCCCACACCCCCGACAGUAGCCGACACUCGACUUCCCCUCUCCUGCCCUUUUUCUUUCCCAACAACUAGUGCCAACCCCGCUUCCCCCCUCCUUUAACUGGAGCAGCCACCACCAACACUGCAGGCGACCACAUCGUCCAAUCGACACUGUCACUUCCGUCGACACUCAGUUUGUCGUCGUCGACGAUCAGUCCGCCAUCAUCACUGAUCGGUUUGUUGUCAUCCAGUUCGGCGUCGCUGCCCGCAUCGUCGUCGAUUCGAGUCCUGAUUCUACAGCCCUUUGGUGAAUGGUCGAUCCUGAAGCUGAAGACGCCCAGUUCGUGUAUGAUCCAGAGACAGGUGUGGUUGAUUUACAGCUCUCUCAGUGGUUUGAUUAUCAGUCGUUCGAGACCGUAGCCGAAUACAUUGAGCGCGUGACUCCGCAGAUUGCUGAGAACGUGGAGAGUCGUUUGGGAAUCAGCUCGUAGCACCGAUGCUUCUAUCCAGACACGUCGCUUCAUCCCAGUUACGUAGCUCUCGGAGGAGAACUUCCGCCACUCAGAUUUGGUGUCAUCACACCAUUUUUUUGAGGUCCCUCACGUCGAACCAGUUCAGCCUGACGAAGGGAAAGGAAGAGGUGCAUAAUUGGAUUGGAAGACCCAACACCAAAUUAUUAUAGGGAUGGCUCGUGGACUUACUCUAUCUUCACCAAGAUUCCAGAUUCCGAAUCAUUCACAGGGAUCUUAAAGCCAGCAACAUUCUUCUGGAUAAAGAUAUGAACCCCAAAAUUUCAGACUUUGGCAUGGCUAGAAUCUUUGGCGGGGAUUAAACAGAUUUCAAUACGAGAAAAGUUGUGGGGACAUAUGAACAUGUCUGCAGAGUAUGCAACGGACGGUAUCUUCUCAAUGAAGUUGGAAGUAUUCAGUUUUGGUGUGCUAAUACUUGAAAUCAUAAGUGUAAAGAAGAACCAAAGGGAGUAUGCCUGUCCUCCCCACAUAAACCUUGACGCACAUGCAUGGAGUUUGUGAAAUGAAGGUAGGAGCUUGCAACUAGUAGAUGAAUCGAUGAGUUGCUCAUUUCCAGCAAACGAAGUACUAAGGUGUAUAAAACUGGGCCUAUUGUGUGUGCAAGUAAACCCCAACAACAGGCCAUUGAUGUCGUCAGGUGUUAUGAUGUUGUCAAGUGAUUUUGAAUCAGUGCCGCAACCUAAGAAGCCUGGAUUUGUAUCACAUGUAGGUCCCUUGGAAGUAGACACACCCUCAAGCAAUCAAGAUUCUUCUACAACAAAUGAAAUGAGUAUUACCAUUUUAGAACCUAGAUAGAUUGUCAGACUGUUGAGAAGUUUUUGAAACUAUUGGUUUUUCUUUUUUUCUUUCCUUUGUUCAGGAUACUUGAGGAAUACUUCUUAUUUUAUCAAGCACCCAUGUGUUGCGUUAGAUUUGUGAAUGAUAGAUGUUGAGGUUUUGGAGUAAAGGUUACCUCUAUUUUCUCAGUGUA